UACGUAGGGUGCAAGCGUUAAUCGGAAUUACUGGGCGUAAAGUGUGCGCAGGUGGCCGAGCAAGUCGAGUGUGAAAUCCCCGAGCUUAACUUGGGAAUUGCGCUCGAAACUACUUGGCUCGAGUGUGGCAGAGGAAGGUGGAAUUCCACGUGUAGCGGUGAAAUUCGUAGAUAUUCGCAAGAACACCAGUGGCGAAGGCGGCUCACUGGCCCGGUACUGACGCUGAGGCGCGAAAGCCAGGGGAGCAAACGGG
rnacentral:rRNA from 1 species